rnacentral:rRNA from 1 species
CCUACGGGAGGCAGCAGUGAGGAAUAUUGCGCAAUGGGGGAAACCCUGACGCAGCAACGCCGCGUGGGUGAAGAAGGCCUUCGGGUCGUAAAGCCCUUUCGGACGGGACGAACGCUCCGCGGGGAUAAUCCGCGGAGUCUGACGGUACCGUAGGAAGAAGCACCGGCUAACUCCGUGCCAGCAGCCGCGGUAAUACGGAGGGUGCAAGCGUUGUUCGGAAUUACUGGGCGUAAAGCGCGUGUAGGCGGCCUUGUAAGUCAGAUGUGAAAGCCCCCGGCUUAACCGGGGAAGUGCAUCUGAAACUGCUUGGCUUGAGUACGGGAGAGGGAGGCGGAAUUCCCAGUGUAGAGGUGAAAUUCGUAGAUAUUGGGAGGAACACCGGUGGCGAAAGCGGCCUCCUGGACCGAUACUGACGCUGAGACGCGAAAGCGUGGGGAGCAAACAGGAUUAGAUACCCUGGUAGUCCACGCUGUAAACGAUGGGCACUAGGUGUGGGGGGUAUCCACUCCUCCCGUGCCGCAGCUAACGCAUUAAGUGCCCCGCCUGGGGAGUACGGCCGCAAGGCUAAAACUCAAAGGAAUUGACGG